AGCGAACGCUGGCGGCAGGCCUAACACAUGCAAGUCGAACGAACCUUUCGGGGUUAGUGGCGGACGGGUGAGUAACACGUGGGAACGUGCCUUUAGGUUCGGAAUAACUCAGGGAAACUUGUGCUAAUACCGAAUGUGCCCUUCGGGGGAAAGAUUAAUCGCCUUUAGAGCGGCCCGCGUCUGAUUAGCUAGUUGGUUGAGGUAAUGGCUCACCAAGGCGACGAUCAGUAGCUGGUCUGAGAGGAUGAUCAGCCACAUUGGGACUGAGACACGGCCCAAACUCCUACGGGAGGCAGCAGUGGGGAAUCUUGCGCAAUGGGCGAAAGCAUGACGCAGCCAUGCCGGGUGAAUGAUGAAGGUCUUAGGAUUGUAAAAUUCUUUCACCGGGGACGAUAAUGACGGUACCCGGAGAAGAAGCCCCGGCUAACUUCGUG
rnacentral:rRNA from 1 species